rnacentral:rRNA from 1 species
GACGAACGCUGGCGGCGUGCUUAACACAUGCAAGUCGAACGAGUGGCGGACGGGUGAGUAAUAUAUCGGAACGUGCCCAGGAGCGGGGGAUAACUACUCGAAAGAGUGGCUAAUACAGCAUACAAUGGGAGCGGCCGAUAUCGGAUUAGGUAGUUGGUGGGGUAAAGUCCUACCAAGGCAACGAUCCGGAGCCGGUUUGAGGGGACGACCAGCCACACUGGAACUGAGACCCGGCCCAGACUCCUACGGGAGGCAGCAGUGGCGAAGUUUGGACAAUGGGGGAAACCCUGAUCCAGCCAUCCCGCGUGUAUGAGAAGGCCUUCGGGUUGUAAAGUACUUUCAGUCGGGAGGCGUUACCGACAGAAGAAGCACCGGCUAACUCCGUGCCAGCAGCCGCGGUAAUAC